rnacentral:tRNA from 1 species
UGGGGUGUAGCUCAGUGGUAGAGCGCUUUCCUAGUAAGCACAAGGAACUGGGCUCAAUUCCCAGCAUCAUAC